rnacentral:lncRNA from 1 species
CCCAAUACAAUCCACCGAAUCCAUCCGUCAGCAUCCCUAAUACAAUCCAAGUUAACUAGAGUGUAGGGUGAAAACCUAACAUAUCCCACCAUAGGCUAUCUAGUUUAAAAAUCCAACAUUAAGCUAAUUUGAUUCAAUCAAUCUCUAGGGAGGAAUCAUGCUAGAUAAGAGGGAUAAACAACCUUCAGUGGGAACAUGGCGGCAUUUCAAUCUACUCAUGCGGUUGACA